rnacentral:lncRNA from 1 species
GGCACAAGAUAAGGUUUGCCUAACAACCUUAGGCAUGUGGAGAUAGGGACACCCAACUCUUUGGGCUUGGAAUAGAGAGGAAAGGGAGAGGUGGCGUGGACACAAGGAGAAGACUCUAGAAAAUUUGAUUUUCUUUCUCUUGGCAAACCCUAAAAGGCUGCCCAAAAAUAGACCCCUUUGGUUUGAAUUCACAAUUCAAACC